CCUACGGGUGGCAGCAGUGAGGAAUAUUGGUCAAUGGGCGCUAGCCUGAACCAGCCAAGUCGCGUGAGGGAUGACGGCCCUAUGGGUUGUAAACUUCUUUUAUCGGGGAAUAAAGGACGGUAUGUAUCCUGCUUUGCAUGUACCUUAUGAAUAAGGAUCGGCUAACUCCGGGCCAGCAGCCGCGGUAAUACGGAGGAUCCGAGCGUUAUCCGGAUUUAUUGGGUUUAAAGGGAGCGUAGGCGGGUUGUUAAGUCAGUGGUGAAAGUUUGCGGCUCAACCGUAAAAUUGCAGUUGAAACUGGCAGUCUUGAGUACAUGAGAGGUGGGCGGAAUUCGUGGUGUAGCGGUGAAAUGCUUAGAUAUCACGAAGAACUCCGAUUGCGAAGGCAGUUCACUGGACUGCAACUGACACUGAGGCUCGAAAGUGUGGGUAUCAAACAGGAUUAGAUACCCCGGUAGUC
rnacentral:rRNA from 1 species